AACGAACGCUGGCGGCGCGUCUUAAGCAUGCAAGUCGAACGGCAAGAGAGGAGCUUGCUUCUCUCCUAGAGUGGCGGACUGGUGAGGAACACGUGGGUAAUCUACCCUUAAGAUGGGGAUAGCUGCUAGAAAUAGCAGGUAAUACCGAAUACACUCGGCAUAUCACAAGAGGUGUUGAGGAAAGGAAGCUACGGCUUCGCUUGAGGAUGAGCUUGCGUCCCAUUAGCUAGUUGGUGAGGUAAAGGCCCACCAAGGCGACGAUGGGUAUCCGGCCUGAGAGGGUGAACGGACACAUUGGGACUGAGAUACGGCCCAAACUCCUACGGGAGGCAGCAGCUAAGAAUAUUCCGCAAUGGACGGAAGUCUGACGGAGCGACGCCGCGUGGAUGAAGAAGGCUGAAAAGUUGUAAAAUCCUUUUGUUGAUGAAGAAUAAGGGUGAGAGGGAAUGCUCAUCUGAUGGCGGUAAUCGACGAAUAAGCCCCGGCUAAUUACGU
rnacentral:rRNA from 1 species